rfam:Ananas comosus cultivar MD2 ACMD2_Scaffold_1459, whole genome shotgun sequence.
GGGCAGAUGAUGUAACACCUACAAAUGCGAUGCUGAGACUUGAUGUCCUUGAUGUCUCAAAAAUCGAGCUUUUUAAAACUGAUGCUCG